AUUCAGAAACUCUGCAGUGAAUAUGAAAAUCAGGCGAGGAAUGGAAUGCUUUUCUGUACCAGAGAAAACGACCCUAUUCGUGGUCCAGAUGGGAAAAUGCAUGGCAACUUGUGUUCCAUGUGUCAAGCCUACUUCCAAGCAGAAAAUGAAGAAAAGAAAAAGGCUGAAGCACAAGCUAGAAAUAAAAGAGAAUCUGGAAAAGCAACCUCAUAUGCAGUGAGUGGAAUCCAUCCGAAAAAUCCUUCUUGGUGCUAUAAUUUGACCAAAUUUUAAGAGCCUAAAGGGUGAGAUUUUGUCCUGCAGAAAUCCCCAGAAUGUCUUAACUCUUCAAUCUGGGGAUGGUAUGGAGAUAAUUUAUAUGGGAAGAUUGAUCUAUUCUUGCUGAUUCAAAACUAACUCUGCAAAAAAAAAAAAAAAAAAAAAAAAAAAAAA